rnacentral:rRNA from 1 species
GAUGAACGCUAGCUACAGGCUUAACACAUGCAAGUCGAGGGGAAACGAUGAGAGAGCUUGCUCUCUUAGUCGUCGACCGGCGCAUGGGUGAGUAACGCGUAUCCAACCUGCCUCUGACCAAGGGAUAACCCGUCGAAAGUCGGACUAAUACCUUAUGCAGUCGUCGGAAGUCAUCUGAUGACGACGAAAGAUUUCAUCGGUGAGAGAUGGGGAUGCGUCUGAUUAGCUUGUUGGCGGGGUAACGGCCCACCAAGGCGACGAUCAGUAGGGGUUCUGAGAGGAAGGUCCCCCACAUUGGAACUGAGACACGGUCCAAACUCCUACGGGAGGCAGCAGUGAGGAAGAGUGGUCAAUGGGCGUAAGCCUGAACCAGCCAAGUAGCGUGCAGGAUGACGGCCCUAUGGGUUGUAAACUGCUUUUAUGCGGGGAUAAAGUGAGGGACGUGUCCUUCAUUGCAGGUACCGCAUGAAUAAGGACCGGCUAAUUCCGUG